rnacentral:rRNA from 1 species
CUCCCUACGGGGGGCAGCAGUGAGGAAUAUUGGUCAAUGGGAGAGAUCCUGAACCAGCCAAGCCGCGUGAGGGAAGACGGCCCUAUGGGUUGUAAACCUCUUUUGUCGGAGAACAAAACCCGGGAUGAGUCCCGGACUGCGUGUCUCCGAAGAAAAAGCAUCGGCUACCUCCGUGCCAGCAGCCGCGGUAAUACGGAGGUUGCGAGCGUUAUCCGGAUUUAUUGGGUUUAAAGGG